AACGGUGGCUAAUACCGGAUGUGCCGCAAGGUAAAAGGCUUGCUGCCUGAAGAUGAGCUCGCGUCUGAUUAGCUAGUAGGUGGGGUAAGAGCCUACCUAGGCGACGAUCAGUAGCUGGUCUGAGAGGAUGACCAGCCACACUGGGACUGAGACACGGCCCAGACUCCUACGGGAGGCAGCAGUGGGGAAUUUUCCGCAAUGGGCGAAAGCCUGACGGAGCAAUACCGCGUGAGGGAGGAAGGCUCUUGGGUUGUAAACCUCUUUUCUCAGGGAAGAACACAAUGACGGUACCUGAGGAAUCAGCAUCGGCUAACUCCGUGCCAGCAGCCGCGGUAAUACGGAGGAUGCAAGCGUUAUCCGGAAUGAUUGGGCGUAAAGCGUCCGCAGGUGGCUGUGUAAGUCUGCUGUCAAAGAGCGAAGCUCAACUUCGUAAAGGCGGUGGAAACUAC
rnacentral:rRNA from 1 species